CCGGCCGCCCCUCCGCCUGCCUCUUAGCUACGGGGGAGCAGAUAGGGACUUGGGGUGGCUUUCGCUCACAGGGUUGACCAGCCUGGGUCCUGGCGCUAGGGACCUGAAGCAAGAAUCCUGACUGAUGCGUGUUUACUACGACCUGACUUAUUGAGGAGAACAAGGACUUCUCUGAAGGCCUGUCCCCUCAAAGCAGCAGGCAGGACAAGCUUGGCUAGAAAGAGAUACAUGGGACACACAGACAAUUAAAGACUAGAAUAGACACUGUGCUUCAAGUCCCAAGAUUUGUGAAGGAAGAUUUG
rnacentral:lncRNA from 1 species